rnacentral:rRNA from 1 species
AUUGAACGCUGGCGGCAUGCUUUACACAUGCAAGUCGAACGGUAACAGGGAGCUUGCUCCGCUGACGAGUGGCGAACGGGUGAGUAAUGCAUCGGAACGUACCGUGUAAUGGGGGAUAACGUAGCGAAAGUUACGCUAAUACCGCAUACGCCCUGAGGGGGAAAGCGGGGGAUCGUAAGACCUCGCGUUAUACGAGCGGCCGAUGUCGGAUUAGCUAGUUGGUGGGGUAAAGGCCUACCAAGGCGACGAUCCGUAGCGGGUCUGAGAGGAUGAUCCGCCACACUGGGACUGAGACACGGCCCAGACUCCUACGGGAGGCAGCAGUGGGGAAUUUUGGACAAUGGGGGGCAACCCUGAUCCAGCCAUGCCGCGUGAGUGAAGAAGGCC